UACGUAGGGGGCAAGCGUUGUCCGGAUUUAUUGGGCGUAAAGAGCGUGUAGGCGGUUAGGUAGGUCCGUUGUGAAAACUCGAGGCUCAACCUCGAGACGCCGAUGGAAACCGUCUGGCUAGAGUCCGGAAGAGGAGAGUGGAAUUCCUGGUGUAGCGGUGAAAUGCGCAGAUAUCAGGAAGAACACCCGUGGCUAAGGCGGCUCUCUAGUACGGUACUGACGCUGAGACGCGAAAGCCAGGGGAGCAAACGGG
rnacentral:rRNA from 1 species